AGCACGGUAAAUGGCGCUGUCGGUACUCAGUCACAUCCAGCUCCCCGGCGUGCGCGGCGAGCUCACCUGCUGACCUGGUCGUCUAAGAAACGCCGCUCUGGUUCUGAUCUCGCCAUGAAUUCCACCCUAUUGCCAGAAAUGGGCUGGUUUCCCUUUGUUGUGCAAAAUGACUGUGUCCUUGAGGAAUGUUUGGAGGGUCUUGGCAACCAGGAAUCAUCCAGAAGCAUAUCUGGUGUCAGCUCAGUUGUGUUGUCAACAUUUCAUUUGGAGUUACCUGACCUUCAGAAGAACUUCAUCCAAUAGCAGAGGUGUAUAAACCUCAAGGGUCCUGUGUGAAAAGCUCCAGAUUGGGAACCAGAGGAGUUGUAUGCUUGCCUUCAUCCUUCCCAGGGGUGAUACUGAAGUUACUUUACAACAGAUGUGGCACAGGUGUGGCAAAGGUUCCAACCCUGCAGAACAGAAGCUGCUCAAUGCUGGGGCAGGAGCCUGGAUAUUCCCUACCCGGUGGACCAGGAGUUUCCCAGCCACCAUAAACGGAACAGUAUCAAGUUUCUGAACAUGGGAGGAAAAGAUGAUCACCUUCAGAAUAGUGGUCUGUAUAAAUACAGAUUUGUUUUUUUCCUUCCCUUUAAGGUAGCUAUUCUGACAACAGUUUAAAAAUACAGAUGUUGUUCCUUAGGAGUUGAAUUGAACUUGAAGGAGAUCGUUGACCUUAAUCAUCUUUGUAUACUUGUAUCUACUAGAUACUAGCAGACACUAAAGCACGUAUUUGCUAAACCAAUGAUAACAUGAUAAAUCCAAGGACAUGAAGUAGCCUUCAGAAAAAUGAAAAAGAUAAAGCUUGCCCUCCUCUUAUGUAAUUGUGCACAUUUAUAAUACAUUUCACUGUGGCAUCUUUUCUGCAGUCUAUGGAAGUUCUAAAGUUUAACAGUGAAGUUGUAGAAAAUCUUUAAUAUCCUGACAAAUCCUAAAUUUUACAAAGAUGAAUGCUAAAGGAAAAGGGUUCAUGCUUUGAGUAACUUUUUAUUU